ensembl:snRNA U6 U6 spliceosomal RNA
AUAUAUGUCAUGAAGCAUUCCGUAUUGGAAUGAUACAGAGAAGAUUAGCAUGGCCCCUGUGCUAGGAUGACAAACAAAUUCAUGAAGUAUUCCAUAUUUUU